CUAAAGUUCACGUGGUUUGGUUGUUGGUGAGAGGAAUUUGGAUUAGGCCUUCCAGCCUUGAAAACACGCUUAGGCUCAUCCCAGAGCUGACUAUGCUACCACUAAGCACUGAAGGCUGGUCUGGGAGUCAAUGGAGGUAACAGAGCAGAAUUUGGCUCCCAUUUUGGAAAGAAUGAGCCCAUCAGAGCUAUAUUUGCACUAUUAACACUGAAGUACAGAUGAACUAAGUUGGCUCUUCCCCGGGUGGAGGGGUGUGUGAAAGAGCUUGAUGGUACCCCAAAGGGAGG